CAGGGAAGCGCGUGAGCUGCGUUCUCGGGGUCCUGGGGUAGAGGAAAGAAAGGGAGCGCGUGCCAGGGAGUGCGCGCGGCCUCCGCGGGCCUCGGCUUGAUGACUGCGGCGUUGUGGGGAAGCCUAGCCCUUGCCCUUGACAAUGCUGCGACACGCAGCAGCCCAGGAACGGGCCCCGGGGAGCCCCGCGCGCGCUGCGGCUGCCGUGCUCGCGAUGAGAAGACUGGCAGGCCAGGAUUCAAACUCGUGUCUUCUGAUCCCUGCAUCACACUGCCUUCCUUUUGAGGUUACCCACAGAUGUCUGUAAUGCACUUCCUCCUUGUCUUUGCCUCUCAGAAUCCUUAUCUUCAAUCAAGACUCAGCUUAGGUGUCACUUCAUCCAUGAAGUUUUCUCUAAUUUCCUUCCAGUUUUUAGUCCUUUCUCCCCUCAAUGUUCCUUGUACUGUACUUACCCAGGUACCUAUUGUUCUCCCUAGAAUAGGGAGAUGAGAACAGUUUGUUCUGAUGGCCAUAAAGGUGGCUGAAGCAGGUGCCAUGGAGUGCUUAGAGCCUGGUCUGACAUCAAAGAUGCUGAGGUCAUCUGCUGCAUCCUGGGUCACUGCCAAUCGUCUUGACUUUUGUCUUGUCCUUGGACAUCGAUGACUCUGGAAGAGAGAGUGAGGCUGACAACUUUGUGCAACCCUGCCUCACUUAAAUCCGAUUCAUGAAGCAGUCAAGCCAUCACCGGUGGAUGUCACUGGUCCUCUUUGAAAAUGAAGGACAAACAGCAUUCUCCCUGGUACAAUGCCAGUUCUUUGACGGCAGGCGCUGUAGUCUGUGUCUUUGUAUCCCCAGCUCUUAGCACAAUGUCUUACAUGUAGUAAUUGCUUAAUACAAGUUUGUUAAACUGAAUUGAAUUACUGAGAGUAUAGAUUUAUCAAAGCACCAAAGUAAACAAAGCUUGUUUCAUAUUCAUAUCUUGCUAGCCUGAAGGCUUGCAUGGGAACUAAUAGUCCUUUCUUUUUUUGUGACCAUCUAGACACAUGUCAAAUUCUGAUAAAUCCAGGGGAAACUUUAGUGGGGUGGGAAGCAAAAUGAGCCAAAUUCUGAUUUUUUUAAGGGAAAAUCUGGGUAGGAGCAUUAGCCAUCAAGUUAUUAUUGAGAAGCCUUCAAGAUGUAAUAGGGAAUCAUGUGAACUUAGAAUUCCAGGUCUGAUAAGCUGUAUUUGUAAUGCCAUAACUCAGCACAGCACCUUGUAACAUAAUAAAUGGUAAUUGAAUUGAAUGUA